rnacentral:tRNA from 1 species
GCCAAUGUAGCUCAGGGGUAGAGCACUUCCAUGGUAAGGAAGGGGUCGGGGGUUCAAAUCCCUUCAUUGGCUC